rnacentral:rRNA from 1 species
UACGAAGGGGGCUAGCGUUGCUCGGAUUGACUGGGCGUAAAGGGCGCGUAGGCGGUUCGUACAGUCAGGCGUGAAAUUCCUGGGCUCAACCUGGGGGCUGCGUUUGAUACGUGCGGGCUUGAGUUCGGAAGAGGGUCGUGGAAUUCCCAGUGUAGAGGUGAAAUUCGUAGAUAUUGGGAAGAACACCGGUGGCGAAGGCGGCGACCUGGUCCGAUACUGACGCUGAGGCGCGAAAGCGUGGGGAGCAAACAGG